UGAGGAAUAUUGGUCAAUGGGCGGAGAGCCUGAACCAGCCAAGCCGCGUGAAGGAAGACGGCCCUAUGGGUUGUAAACUUCUUUUGUCGGGGAACAAAAGCCGAUUUGCGAAUUGGUCUGAGUGUACCCGAAGAAAAAGCAUCGGCUAACUCCGUGCC
rnacentral:rRNA from 1 species